rnacentral:rRNA from 1 species
GACGAACGCUGGCGGCGUGCCUAAUACAUGCAAGUAGGACGCUGAAGGAGGAGCUUGCUUCUCUGGAUGAGUUGCGAACGGGUGAGUAACGCGUAGGUAACCUGCCUGGUAGCGGGGGAUAACUAUUGGAAACGAUAGCUAAUACCGCAUAAUAGUAGAUGUUGCAUGACAUUUACUUAAAAGGUGCAAUUGCAUCACUACCAGAUGGACCUGCGUUGUAUUAGCUAGUUGGUGGGGUAACGGCUCACCAAGGCGACGAUACAUAGCCGACCUGAGAGGGUGAUCGGCCACACUGGGACUGAGACACGGCCCAGACUCCUACGGGAGGCAGCAGUAGGGAAUCUUCGGCAAUGGACGAAAGUCUGACCGAGCAACGCCGCGUGAGUGAAGAAGGUUUUCGGAUCGUAAAGCUCUGUUGUAAGAGAAGAACGAGUGUGAGAGUGGAAAGUUCACACUGUGACGGUAUCUUACCAGAAAGGGACGGCUAACUACGUG